AUGGUAUUCGAAACUUGCAUAAUAAGGGUAAUCACUUCACCUUGGGUGGGUUUGGGAGACUUUAAUGAAUUUCUACUUUCUUCAAAAAAGGAGGGUGGCAAUGCGAUACCAAAUGCAAUGAUGUGAGAGUUUCGUAAUUGUUUGAAAGAGUGCGGUCUGGAAUACAUGGGAUGUAUUGGGGAUCCUUUCACUUGGAGGAGAGGCGAUAUUAGAGAGAGACUUGACCAUGCGGUUUGUAAUGUGCAAUGCGCGAACAAAUUUCCUCGGUCUACGGUCAUAAAUGAAGAACAUGUACACUCCGAUUAUCGUCCUCUCAUCCUGGAUACAAAAUAUUUUGAUGGCAAUAUUCCUAACCACCCAAAGAGUCGACUGAAACAAUUUGAAGCUCGAUGGCUCCAAGAAGAGUCAGUUGUAUAA
rnacentral:rRNA from 1 species